rnacentral:pre_miRNA from 1 species
GCUCCGUCUGCCCAGUGUUCAGACUACCUGUUCAUGGGUAUGGCAGUGUACAGUAGUCUGCACAUUGGUUAGAUUGGGCC